GUUUGAUGUCAAAUAAAAGCUGAUACAUUACUCUUUCAUCUGAUACCAAUUGUUUGAUAAUAUCUUUAUUUUCGGAAAUUUAUUAUAAGCUUUUCCGUGUUUGAAAAUGAAAAAGAAAAAAAUCCGAAAGUCACACUUUAACGUGAUUUUAUAAAAAAAAAAUGCACCGUGGGAAAACUCUACGACAGGGCUAAAAUGAAAGUAUGAUGUUUACUCUAUCUUCAUGUGAAAUUUCAGCCGUGAGGUAUUUCGGUCAAUUAAACUCUUUAAAUAAGCGACCUUUCUGAUUUGUCACUCCACUAUACGUCUGUUUACUAUAAAUCUGUUUUUAUUUAUUUAAUGCACA
rnacentral:lncRNA from 1 species